rnacentral:lncRNA from 1 species
CCGAAGCGCCAAGUAUCUGGUGGAGGUUAUAUCUCCGAAGCGUCAUGUAUCUGGCAAAGGUUAUACCUCCCAAGCGUCAUGUAUCUGGCAGAGAUGGUGCUGGAGGGAAACUCACAGGAUAUAGCUAUAAGAAAACACAUACCAUAUGCUAAUCUUUCACUUUCCUCUUUCAAGUAAAUACAUACCCCCUAACAGCAGUGUUUGGUGAAGCUGGAUUUCAGUGGGCAGGGUAAACGGUGGGUCAUUGACCCGAAUAAUGUAACCAGACCUGCCCAAAUGGACAAACAUGCCCAAAAAGGGGGCAUGUCUACAUGAAGAAUUAGAUGGUCAGCCUGGCGUGAAUGCACAUCAGGCUGCCUGCCAGUCUUGCGGGAUGCCCAACUAAGAGCACACUGUGCAGACAGCACACUGAGCUUGACAUAAAUGUGUCUAAUGAUGCGCUCGCUCCACGCUUUCUGGGGGCUCAGUAAUAUCCCAGUACACACUGUAAUGUGUGGUGUGUAGUGGGAUAUUAAAGAGCUUCCAGGGCACUCACUAGGGGGGUCCAUUCCUCUCCUUACCUUCUUACUAGCAGGCAGGCUCUGGGUUUGUGUAAAGGGAACAUGCCACAGAGUUAGAGAGCUUUACAUUAACUAAUUUCAUUGUCAGCCAGUCCACAUUGGCUUUGUUCUCCUACAUCCUUCUUUAGUUUCCAUACUUAAGCACGAGCAUGUGCAGAGUAAUAAAAAAACAAUGAGCCAUUGGCAUGAGCCUGGAGCUGCAGCUCCAUCAGCCCCUAUGUUAAUCCGGCCCUGUCUCUCAACAUCUCUCUCUGUCGCUCUCACUAUCUCUCAUACUGUUACCAUCUCUCUCUGUCUCUCCCGCUUAAGCUAUCUCUCUGUCUCGCUCACAUUGUCUCUCUCACAUUGUCUCUCUGUCUCUUGCAGUCACUCCAUGAAGCUGCUCUUGCGUUAAAGACAAGACAUCCAGACGUGGUGGUGGAAGCCUCAGGGGGUGUUUCCCCUCACAACCUUCUGCAAUUCCUUGGACCUCAUAUUGACAUGAUCUCCAUGGGAUGUCUCACUCAGGGCCCCCCAAGUGUUGACUUCUCUCUCAAACUUGCCAAAGGCUUGCGGACUCGGCCUGUGACCACCAUGGCGCCUGUACCUGAGUGAGCACUUCCCUAUAGACUAGCUGUCUGUUCCCAGGCUAUAUAUUGUAUAUCUGUAAACCCAGGAAUAAAUGCAUGCAAUGUCUGCUCCCCUUUACUUAUUACCAGCUGCAGGAAUAGUCUCUGUCUCUAUGGAACAAGCCUACAGCGUUUCAGAAGUAGUGAUUGUAUACAAUGACUGAGUCACACCACACAAAAACAAAAGUUUAGACUUUAUAAAAACACACUUUUCUAAAAUUAGAAUAUGUGUAAAGGAAUCAUUAUCAGACUGGAGCAAUUUAAAUGGAGUCCAAGAGAAAUGGGAUUAUUUAAAAGUUGCACUAUUGAAGGCAACAGAAAAUUGCAUUAGGCUUGUCAGUAAAAGCAAAAAAAUUCAAGAAACCACUGUGGUACUCCGCAGAUGUGGCCAAAAUAGUUAAAAACAAAAAGUUAGCAUUUAGG